GGUGACUUACUGAGAAGAUAGCCGAAGCCGGUUGCGAGAAUACGGCGCGUACAGUUUCGACAACGCUCUCUAUUCCGAAAGCUAUGACGGCGCCGGGAGUGUGACUGUAGGCAGCACGUCAACUGCAGUAAACUUUGAGAAUCAGGCUCUGGACACCGAUGCUUGAGGGGCGGGGCAAACAUAAACCACGCCCCCCUUCCCCUCUCCCCCCAAAAAAAAACUGCCUUUUGUUUCUUCUCACUCUAGUUUUUUUUUUGUUUUGUUUAUUAUUAUUGUUGUUAUUUGUAAGGAUGGAGCAAUGGUAGAGUAGUGGAAGGAGUAUUAUUGUGUAUAUUUUUAUUGGCAUUGAUAUUGCUAUUACUGUUGUUGUUUAUAUUGUUGUUAUUGUUAUUUUUGUUGUUGUUAUUAUUGGUAAAAUUGUUAUUAUCAUUAAUGUUAUAAUUAUUAUUAUUAUUACCACUACUACUACUAUUACUAUCAAUUAUUGCUAUUGUUCUUAUUAUGUAAUUCUAUUUCAUAUCUUUACUUUGGGUUAUCACAUUUUUUUUUAUUCCGUAAUGUGUAAUUUUUACAGGAAAUUAGAGAAGAAACGUUUUUUUUUAAAUAUAAAUUAAGAAAUAUUCAUAAUACAUUCCAUGAUUGUUUUGUCAAAAAUGGAGUCGACUUGACGGUUCAGAUAAUACAACUUUAGACAGUGAUAAUAACAUUACAGUUGUUAUUCAGUAUGUAAUAGGAUACAGCAAUACAUGUUCAUUACCCUCAGAAAAAAACGAAGGACUAAAAAUACUUUUGUCUUUAGUUAUAGUUCAUUAAGUGUUAGUUUUAGUUAUGUAAUGAUUGACUGAAAGAUCUGAUUUUUUUUAGAAGUAAUGUUUGUUUGUUUGUUUGUCGUAAUGUAAUCUUCGCCAAUUAAAUAUAAAGAACGAUUUGAU